GAUGAACGCUGGCGGCGUGCCUAAUACAUGCAAGUCGAGCGAACGGACGAGAAGCUUGCUUCUCUGAUGUUAGCGGCGGACGGGUGAGUAACACGUGGAUAACCUACCUAUAAGACUGGGAUAACUUCGGGAAACCGGAGCUAAUACCGGAUAAUAUUUUGAACCGCAUGGUUCAAAAGUGAAAGACGGUCUUGCUGUCACUUAUAGAUGGAUCCGCGCUGCAUUAGCUAGUUGGUAAGGUAACGGCUUACCAAGGCAACGAUGCAUAGCCGACCUGAGAGGGUGAUCGCCCACACUAGAACGAAAACAAGGUCAACACCCCUACGGGAGGCGGCAGUGGGGAAUAUUCCAAAAUGGGCAAAAGCCUGAGGAAGCAACGCCGGGUGGGUGAAGAAGGUUUUCGGCUCGAAAAACUUGUUUAUGGGGAAAGAAAAUAGGUAAAAGAAAAUCCCCACUUCUUGACGGUACCAAAACAAAAAGCCCCGCCAAACUCCGUC
rnacentral:rRNA from 1 species